GAGAGGGGCUGGGCAAAAGGAGGGAGAGGGUAGAGGAUGGGGAAACGCGCGCCCCAAGAGCAAAAGCAAACAGCUGUGGAGGCGCUGCCCGCGGCUCAGGCUUCCCAACAGGUUAGCUAUACUGGGAUCCACCCGGCAUUUCGCAGGAAGGGGUGGGGGGAAGACAGAGCGAGAGGGGGAGAGAGCCUCACAAGAGGACAGAGGGAGGGAGGGAAAGAG
ensembl:misc_RNA